UUAAGCGACUAAGCGUACACGGUGGAUGCCCUGGCAGUCAGAGGCGAUGAAGGACGUGCUAAUCUGCGAUAAGCGUCGGUAAGGUGAUAUGAACCGUUAUAACCGGCGAUUUCCGAAUGGGGAAACCCAGUGUGAUUCGUCACACUAUCAUUAACUGAAUCCAUAGGUUAAUGAGGCGAACCGGGGGAACUGAAACAUCUAAGUACCCCGAGGAAAAGAAAUCAACCGAGAUUCCCCCAGUAGCGGCGAGCGAACGGGGAGCAGCCCAGAGCCUGAAUCAGUGUGUGUGUUAGUGGAAGCGUCUGGAAAGGCGCGCGAUACAGGGUGACAGCCCCGUACACAAAAAUGCACAUGCUGUGAGCUCGAUGAGUAGGGCGGGACACGUGGUAUCCUGUCUGAAUAUGGGGGGACCAUCCUCCAAGGCUAAAUACUCCUGACUGACCGAUAGUGAACCAGUACCGUGAGGGAAAGGCGAAAAGAACCCCGGCGAGGGGAGUGAAAAAGAACCUGAAACCGUGUACGUACAAGCAGUGGGAGCACAGAGCAAUCUGUGUGACUGCGUACCUUUUGUAUAAUGGGUCAGCGACUUAUAUUCUGUAGCAAGGUUAACCGAAUAGGGGAGCCGAAGGGAAACCGAGUCUUAACUGGGCGUUAAGUUGCAGGGUAUAGACCCGAAACCCGGUGAUCUAGCCAUGGGCAGGUUGAAGGUUGGGUAACACUAACUGGAGGACCGAACCGACUAAUGUUGAAAAAUUAGCGGAUGACUUGUGGCUGGGGGUGAAAGGCCAAUCAAACCGGGAGAUAGCUGGUUCUCCCCGAAAGCUAUUUAGGUAGCGCCUCGUGAAUUCAUCUCCGGGGGUAGAGCACUGUUUCGGCAAGGGGGUCAUCCCGACUUACCAACCCGAUGCAAACUGCGAAUACCGGAGAAUGUUAUCACGGGAGACACACGGCGGGUGCUAACGUCCGUCGUGAAGAGGGAAACAACCCAGACCGCCAGCUAAGGUCCCAAAGUCAUGGUUAAGUGGGAAACGAUGUGGGAAGGCCCAGACAGCCAGGAUGUUGGCUUAGAAGCAGCCAUCAUUUAAAGAAAGCGUAAUAGCUCACUGGUCGAGUCGGCCUGCGCGGAAGAUGUAACGGGGCUAAACCAUGCACCGAAGCUGCGGCAGCGACGCUUAUGCGUUGUUGGGUAGGGGAGCGUUCUGUAAGCCUGUGAAGGUGUACUGUGAGGUAUGCUGGAGGUAUCAGAAGUGCGAAUGCUGACAUAAGUAACGAUAAAGCGGGUGAAAAGCCCGCUCGCCGGAAGACCAAGGGUUCCUGUCCAACGUUAAUCGGGGCAGGGUGAGUCGACCCCUAAGGCGAGGCCGAAAGGCGUAGUCGAUGGGAAACAGGUUAAUAUUCCUGUACUUGGUGUUACUGCGAAGGGGGGACGGAGAAGGCUAUGUUGGCCGGGCGACGGUUGUCCCGGUUUAAGCGUGUAGGCUGGUUUUCCAGGCAAAUCCGGAAAAUCAAGGCUGAGGCGUGAUGACGAGGCACUACGGUGCUGAAGCAACAAAUGCCCUGCUUCCAGGAAAAGCCUCUAAGCAUCAGGUAACAUCAAAUCGUACCCCAAACCGACACAGGUGGUCAGGUAGAGAAUACCAAGGCGCUUGAGAGAACUCGGGUGAAGGAACUAGGCAAAAUGGUGCCGUAACUUCGGGAGAAGGCACGCUGAUAUGUAGGUGAAGUCCCUCGCGGAUGGAGCUGAAAUCAGUCGAAGAUACCAGCUGGCUGCAACUGUUUAUUAAAAACACAGCACUGUGCAAACACGAAAGUGGACGUAUACGGUGUGACGCCUGCCCGGUGCCGGAAGGUUAAUUGAUGGGGUCAGCGCAAGCGAAGCUCUUGAUCGAAGCCCCGGUAAACGGCGGCCGUAACUAUAACGGUCCUAAGGUAGCGAAAUUCCUUGUCGGGUAAGUUCCGACCUGCACGAAUGGCGUAAUGAUGGCCAGGCUGUCUCCACCCGAGACUCAGUGAAAUUGAACUCGCUGUGAAGAUGCAGUGUACCCGCGGCAAGACGGAAAGACCCCGUGAACCUUUACUAUAGCUUGACACUGAACAUUGAGCCUUGAUGUGUAGGAUAGGUGGGAGGCUUUGAAGUGUGGACGCCAGUCUGCAUGGAGCCGACCUUGAAAUACCACCCUUUAAUGUUUGAUGUUCUAACGUGGACCCGUAAUCCGGGUUGCGGACAGUGUCUGGUGGGUAGUUUGACUGGGGCGGUCUCCUCCUAAAGAGUAACGGAGGAGCACGAAGGUUGGCUAAUCCUGGUCGGACAUCAGGAGGUUAGUGCAAUGGCAUAAGCCAGCUUGACUGCGAGCGUGACGGCGCGAGCAGGUGCGAAAGCAGGUCAUAGUGAUCCGGUGGUUCUGAAUGGAAGGGCCAUCGCUCAACGGAUAAAAGGUACUCCGGGGAUAACAGGCUGAUACCGCCCAAGAGUUCAUAUCGACGGCGGUGUUUGGCACCUCGAUGUCGGCUCAUCACAUCCUGGGGCUGAAGUAGGUCCCAAGGGUAUGGCUGUUCGCCAUUUAAAGUGGUACGCGAGCUGGGUUUAGAACGUCGUGAGACAGUUCGGUCCCUAUCUGCCGUGGGCGCUGGAGAACUGAGGGGGGCUGCUCCUAGUACGAGAGGACCGGAGUGGACGCAUCACUGGUGUUCGGGUUGUCAUGCCAAUGGCACUGCCCGGUAGCUAAAUGCGGAAGAGAUAAGUGCUGAAAGCAUCUAAGCACGAAACUUGCCCCGAGAUGAGUUCUCCCUGACUCCUUGAGAGUCCUGAAGGAACGUUGAAGACGACGACGUUGAUAGGCCGGGUGUGUAAGCGCAGCGAUGCGUUGAGCUAACCGGUACUAAUGAACCGUGAGGCUUAACCUU
rnacentral:rRNA from 1 species